rnacentral:rRNA from 1 species
GGGCCCGCACAAGCGGUGGAGCAUGUGGUUUAAUUCGAUGCAACGCGAAGAACCUUACCAGGGCUUGACAUACUGCGAAUCUCCUUGAAAGAGGAGAGUGCCUUCGGGAAUGCAGAUACAGGUGGUGCAUGGCUGUCGUCAGCUCGUGUCGUGAGAUGUUGGGUUAAGUCCCGCAACGAGCGCAACCCUUGUUUUUAGUUACCAACUUGUUGGGUUUUCUAGAAAGACUGCCGGUGACAAAGCGGAGGAAGGUGAGGAUGACGUCAAGUCAGCAUGCCCCUUAUGUCCUGGGCUACACACGUGCUACAAUGGUUAGGACAAAGAGUCGCAAGUUUGCAAAAACAAGCUAAUCUCAUAAACCUCACCUAAGUUCAGAUUGUAGGCUGCAACUCGCCUACAUGAAGUUGGAAUCGCUAGUAAUCG